AUUGAACGCUGGCGGCAGGCCUAACACAUGCAAGUCGAGCGAGUGGCGGACGGGUGAGUAAUGUCUGGGAAACUGCCUGAUGGAGGGGGAUAACUACUGGAAACGGUAGCUAAUACCGCAUACCAUCAGAUGUGCCCAGAUGGGAUUAGCUAGUAGGUGGGGUAACGGCUCACCUAGGCGACGAUCCCUAGCUGGUCUGAGAGGAUGACCAGCAACACUGGAACUGAGACACGGUCCAGACGCCUACGGGAGGCAGAAGUGGGGAAUAUUGCACAAUGGGCGCAAGCCUGAGGCAGCCAUGCAGCGGGUAUGAAGAAGGCCUUCGGGUUGUAAAGUACUUUCAGCGUGGAGGCGUUACUCGCAGAAGAAGCACCGGCUAACUCCGUGCCAGCAGCCGCGGUAAUAC
rnacentral:rRNA from 1 species